ensembl:lncRNA
GUAAUGAGCUACAUUUGGUGUGGGAUUUUCAAAACUCUAUAGCUUAUAUACAGCUGCUAGAAGAUGAGGUAUUACAUAAACUUGUGAAAUCUACUCCCAGAGAGUUUAUUUACAGUUAGCUACAGUGCAUAUUGAUAGUGCAUAUUCACAAUACCUUUUAACUAUAAAACCUCUUAAUAUUUUGAUUUCACUGAAUUUUAGUUGGAUUAUCAAGUGUGCAUGGAAGACUUAAUUUAGGAAAGUCUACUGUAAGCAUAAUUUGAACCUUUUCUCUUGGGAGAAUUAUUGAAACCUCAUGUUUUAGUAUGAGUAAGUAUCUGUUGAUACAUUAGGAACCUCAUUUAAAGCCCAUUCAUGUCAAUAGAAAAACUUCCUUUGCCUCACUGGGAUGUGGACCAAGGACCAUGCAAGAGUAACUGAACUAAGGAUUCUGCUGACUGUAACAUAUAGUAUAUGCAGUACAGAUCAUAAAAAAUAAAAACAUUUGCUAAGAAUUAUUUUUGCUUUACUGAUGUUUUAAGCAGUAACUUGAUGUAGUAUAGUGAAAAGGAUAUCAAAUAUUCUAGGUUUGAGUCAUUAGAACCAGAUGGUCCGUUAAAGGCUUUUGUCUAAACUAGAAUUAGGAAAGUUUGUAAACUCUGGAUAGUCUGAAAAUAUGCUCAAACUUGAUAUAUCAGAUGAUAUGCCCAGUUUUAUAAUGUGGAAUUCUUUGGCUGUUUUCCUGACAUCCUAGUAAGGUGUUAUACAAUUUAGGCAAUUACAAUAAAAUUUUGGAUGCUGCUGUCAUUACUGUUCUGAUUUGGAACUGGAAAAACAACAAAAUUGCCCUAAUUCAGUGAAGUGGAGAAUAUCACAGGGAAGAAUUAAUGAGGAAAAUAAUUUUUAUUACUUAAUAUUGAUUUAUUGUAUUUACGUCAUGGGUCAUAUUUGUUUGUGUGGAAAAGGUCAGAAAACAACAACAAGAAAACCUGAAUCCUUAUGAUCUUUAUCCUGGAAAAAUGAUAAAUAUUUUCUCCUCAAAAUACUAACAGUAUUUGUAGUGGAAUGACGGUAUCUGACAGUGACCAGUCAGAACUGCAGAAUACAAUACUGAAAUAGUAUUGAUCAUCACAGAAUGAUACAGCAACUUAGCUGUUAAAAUUAAAUGUGUCACUACAGUCCUGUGGCAGUCCUUCUGCAUCCUGGAAGGUAUACUGCCUGUAGACACCUACUACUUUCCCUAUUUACUUGUGUAGUCUGAAGUGUGGAGGGAGGAGGCAGUAUCUAUGAUGGUAGGAAUUCACACAAAUUGUUGAGGAGAUAUAGAGGCAACCUGAAGUUUAUUUCACAUUACUAAUAUAGGUUGUGUGAAGGACAACUGUCCACACAGAAGUCAUAUAUAUUUAAGAUCAGAGAUAACGUUUAUUUUCUUCUUUCCUGACUUGUAUAAAUGCCAACAGAAUCUGGUAAUCUGAAAUUGAAUUAGAGUGUGUCAGGAGUCUUUGGGUGCUAAUCUGAAUGGUUUUGAUGACAUUUUUGUACAAUAUCUUGGGCAUUAGGGGUGGGUUUUGUAAACUUUUUUUUCUCUGUGAUUCCUACUAGUCCCUCUCAGGUGGGAACUUCUUUCUCUGGUGUAUUAGUGGUUUCACUGUCCCCAAGUAAGCUGUCUGCAUACAGCAAGCAGGCAAGCAGGAUCAGAUUUUCUCUGCAGGUACUUGCUGAUUUCAAUACAGAAACAUGAACUUGCAAGUAUACAUCAAGCAGAUUUCAGAGUGGCUCCUCACUGAAUAUGGGCUGGAAUGAAAUGGAAAGUCCCUUCAGAAAGUUAAACUACAUUUUAAGGAAACCAACAUUUAAAAACAUAGUAAUAAGUGAGCUACAGAAGGCAGCACAAGUGCUCAAUUCAGCAGCAUUGGGCCUCUGAAGAAGCCAAGGUUCAGUUAUAAAUUGUAUAUGCCACUUUUUCUAAAAUUUUUUUCCUGUCGAGAUGCAUAACCAAACACCUGGUAGAUUUGCUAGACUGAUUUUCUUUGAGUAGAUGUAUGUAUAGGUACAUGUGCAAACACUUCUUAUCAUGCAUUUGUCUGCUAAUGAUUGUGAAUUUGUAUCAGUGAUUUGCACAACUAAGUCAGGUGGGCACAUAUAGCCCUGCAAAUAUUGACAAGAUAAUAUGUCCUUUUGUCUCCUGCAGUUUCACAGGAAGAUGAUGGAUUAGGAUUUUUUUGCUUUUAAUGUUUCUUGGUUCAGGACCUUCCUUUGAACAUUAAAGUCUAGUGAAACAUGCUCCACAGACUUUGUCCAUAACAACUGGCAAUUUUCCUAUGUUAAGGAGUUGAAGUGAAAACUUUUAUUAUGUCCACCUGCUCAACUAGGUUCUUCCAAGUUUAAAGAUAAAAUAAAAAAUGAAAUGAUUGGUGUAAAGUCAUGACAUCCACAGUUUUCUGUGUAAAAUCAGGUAUUUCUUUUGUUUUGCUUUACUAAGUAUUUAUUAAUUUGUUUGGGAGAUACUUACAUCUUAAUGAGGCUUUUGAAAAACUUACCCUGUGUUUAAAGUUUCUAAGAGAAUUUGAAGCAAGACAAACAAUGUGGUUUUGGGUUUUGUUGUUAACAUUUCUCAACUCUGUUCAUGUAAUAAAAAACAACAUUUUCAUUUGUAUAAUUUGGCCUUAGGGCACAGGAAGAGGUGUGGAAUGAACAGUGGAGAAUGCACUGGAAGUGUAGUGGAGCUUUGGAUCAGAGAGACUGUCACAGAAGCUUGUGAAUUUGGAGAAAGCCAUGUGUCCAUAUGAAAAAAAAAAGUGAAAAGUAUCUUGAUUUGGAUGGUUAUAAGCCAUUUUCUUAAACUGUGAGCAACAGUCUUCUCUCUACAACUCCAUGAGGAGGGGAAGUGAAGGGAAGUGCUGGUUCUUCUCACUGGUAGCCAGUGACAGGACAUGUGAGAACAGCACAAGGUUGCACAGUGGAGGUUUGAACUGGAUAAUAAGAAAAAUCUCUUUAAUAUGACAGUGGUCAGAAGCUAUCACAGGCUUCCUAGGGAUGUUGAUGCCUCAUGCCUGUCGGUGUCCAAGAGAAAUUUGAACUAUUUUCGCCUGUCCUCUCCUGUCCGAAAAUACCAACUCUUUGCAGCUCAUAUUACUAUAAAAAAGAGAUCUCAGAAAAAAUAAUUCAGUUUGGAACUGGCUAUCAGUAUUAAUUUAUAUUAACACAUACUUGAGUAUUGCCCCACUAACUGAAUGAAGUAUACAGAGAAGUCAUUGCAGAAAAGCAAUUAAAAUAUUUUUCUUUAGAGCUAAUUUGUUGCUUUGCAUUUUGCUCCAAGUACUUGGUGCCAUUGAUGCCAGAAGUAGGGAUUUAGUUGUGAUCCUGAGAACUUUAGAACCGAAAGAUGAGUGCAUUUUAUUUGAAAAUUAAAACCCAGCUUGUCCACACUAGCCCAGAACUGGCUGGAUAAUUUGGUGCAGAAAUUCAUUCUCUACUUUGCAUUGGGCGACAAGGUGACAGCAUCCUGUCAUGUUCAGUAAGAGAAUACUCUGAGUGCUAACUCAGGCAUUGACCCUCUGCCUUGGAAGAAAAGCACAAAAAGGAGUUUUCAUGGUAGGGCACUGGGAAGCUCAGUUCACAUAUUCAAGCCAUAACUUCUAAGGGCAGAAGGGACCACAGUGAGUGCUGUCUGUCCCUGGCAUAGCACAGAAUUUUGAAGAAUCAUUACUGCUCCCCACAUCUGUUAUGUGAUUUUGUAAUAGCUCCUAUUCAAAUGCAUAUCCACAGACAGGAUGGUUUUAACAUGCAUCGACAGCCAGCCAGACAGAUGUUUUGAGGCACAUAAUAUAAUUAUUGAUAUGAAAAUCAAAACAAGGUAUCUUAUAAAAGCAGCCACUGUCAGAUCGUUAUGGAUUAGAUCAUCAGUCUUGUUGAUUUAACAAACCCUGUAUUCAUUAUCGUAGCUCAGGGCACUUUUUUCUUUGCCAGAAUUGGCUAUCCUCUUAAUGAAUAUUACAAAUCAUAACCCAAAUUAUAUGCCUUAAACUGUCUUCAUUUUUUUUUUUGCAAUGCUGUUCAGGGGCUUGAUUUGUGUUACUGCAAAGCAUCCCACUGAUGGAGGAAAGGGAGACUGACAUGCAAUGAAUGGGCUGCAGAAUUCUGUGUGGACAAGCAGUAACUCAACCCUCUCAUAGAGUAAUCUCCAUCUUGUGCUUGGACUUCACUGUGGUCUCCUGUGAGCUCCCUCACAGAGAGUAUAGUGCAGACUUUGACUGUGUUUUGAUGAAGACUCAAAGUUUUAUACCAAACAGAUUUGACUGACUGCUAAUGCUGUAUCUCAGCUCUAUUAAGCGUCAAAAAUAGAAAGCUUGGGGGAAAGAAGUGAAAACAUAUUGAAAUUUUUCUCCUGAGUGGUUUAGAAAUUGGACUUUUUUUUUCUUUCAUUUCCCAUUUCACCUCCAGAUAAUCAUAGAAUCAUAUAAUGGUUUAGGUUGGAGGGGACAUUUAAGAUCUUCUAGUUACAACCCUCCUGCUAUAGGCAGGGACACCUCCCUCUAGACCAGGUUGCAUGAAGUCCCAUCCAGCCUGGCUUUGAAUGUUUCCGGGGAGGGGUCAUCCACAGCCUCACUGAACAACCUGUUCCAGUGUCUUAUCACCCUCACAGAAAAAAGUUUCUUCCUAAUAUCUAGUCUAAAUCUACCCUCUUCCAGUUUAAAACCACUUCUCCAUAAUCCUGUCACUACCUGCCCUUAUAAGACAGUCCCUCCCCAGCUUUCCUGUAGGCCCCUUUCAGGUACUGGAAAGCCACUAUAAGGUCUCCUUGGAGCCUUCUCUUCUCCAGGCUGAAGAGCCCCAUCUCUCUCAGCUUCUCCACAUAGUAAUAGACAUAAAAGACAUAGUAAUGUCUUUUCUCUUUUGAAAGACUGUGUACUAACUUUGGGUUAAAAACAUUAGAAGAAAAAGAAAAAUCAGAAUAAAACCAUUAAAAAAAUCUGUUAAAAGAUACUGAGAAAGAAUGUUUCACUUUUUUCAAUUGAAGAAAUUUUCAUUUUUCAAUUGAAGUAUAUAUAUAUCUUCUGCGUAUUUGACCAUAAUUUAAUAUUAGUUGUCAACAGUUUCAAUAAAAAAAAAGUUCCAGUGGAAUUAUUUUGAUAGGGAACUUUUAAAGAACAAUCUAAUUAGACUAGAGUACAAUUUUCAGUGCAGUAACAUGCUGUAAACAUGUAAGUACAGUGGCAGAUGGGAGUAGUAUAUGGACACCUGUUAACAUCUGUUUUCUGUGUAUCAUCUACUGUCCAAGCAAGACAAGCUAAUUGUCAUAUUGACCUUAAACUAAAUUCACUCAUGAAAUAAGAUAAGAACUAUGAGUCACAGUAAUUGCUUGUAGCAAGCAAAGGACCAAGAACUCUUGGAGUUGUUCACCCUCAGGGCAUGUUUUAUAGUCCAGCUUCCUUAAACAGAUAUCUAGAGGAAGUUGGGAACUGUUAGCCUCUAUGAAGUGGGGGAGAUGUUGUGCAAUGGGAUACUCUUGCUGGCUGGUUCUUAAAUGUGGGUGGGGUUUCUUGGUUUUUUUUUUUUUUUUUUAAUUGUUAUGGAUUGUUUGAUGGGGAAUUGUUUUUCCAUUAGAAAAAGCAAAACAACUGCUUUCAGUGUAAAACGACCUUUUAGAUUAUGUGCGUGAACCACAAACAGAAAGAACAUAAUUAAAUGCUCCAUGGGCAAGCAGAGUGAGCUUGACUCACUGCUGUGUUACUCCAGUUCUGCACCAGAUGAGUUCAACUGAAGAAAGAUGGAGCUUUACCACCCAUACUAUCUGAAGGGAAGAGGUCUCAUAAUGCCCUUUUGCAGAAUCCCUCCAGUUGGAUCAGGAGAUUCUGGUAUCUUAAUAAGCACUUCUGAUUCACUAUGGGGAGAGAACUCCUGUCCAUGGGAAUCCUUUUUAAUGGCUAUAGUGGCUGAAUGUUAUGAAGAAUCAAGACUGCACAGAAAAGCUUGUCCCAGAGUACUGAGAUGGAGGAUGCAUAUGACGUGAUAUGUGUACCACAUAUAUUACAUGAUGUAUCCUGAUGUGACUUAACAUGUUUCAGGAAUAAUGUUCUGAAAAUUAGACUAACCAAAAAGAUCUGUGGAAGUUGCAUUUCCUAGUUAGCAAUGACCUUCAUAAUAUCAGGGGGGCUUCAGCACUUUGUUUUACAGAAAAUACUUGCAUUUAAGUCAGUUCUAGGAAAUAGGCCUUCUAAUGGGUAGUGGCUGACAUAACACAUAUGUGACACUUAUCCUUGUUAGGAUGUUUUGAGGCUUUCCUUUGAGUAGCUCUCUACCACAGAAAUAAAUCAUCUCCUCAUGGAGAGCAGAUGAACAACAACGUAUGAAAAGAGGAUUUAUGGCUGUGGCAGCUUUUCUAAACGUCUUAGGUGUCCUGGACUAUAGUUCUAUAGUGCCUCCUAGAGGCACAGACUAUAGGUACGAGGGCAGGAAGCCGAAGUAUAGCUGAUAGGUUGAGGCAAUGCCAAUUGCAUGUUUACUUGUGUGUUGGCUGAAUUCCUCUGCAGCUGUUGUGACUUGUGAGUGUUUGAUUAAUUUAAUGCAAUGGAAAUGCUCAGUACUUGGCAUAUGAACCAAUGUAGACUCUCUGUUAAUAGGAGAUAGUGAUUUCUGGCUUGUCUUCUCCCAGUGUGGAUGAUACAUUAAUAGCCAUGCCUUCACGGUAAAACAGGAAUACUUGCUUUCUAGGAGAUGGUGAAUCCAGGUGAGAAUUAUGCAAUUCCAUGAAGGCAAAUCAGAGAGGAGAGUACUGAUUGUCAGACUUGGCUGCAUGGUAAACACUUUAAUCUUCAGUAAAGAUAAUGGCUUGCAAAACCCUAAUUGUUGGCUGACUCCAGUAGACCAUAUUCCUGAAAGUAAAACAAAUUACACACAGACCACAUAAUCCAUGGCUAUCCUUGCAAUCUAGGGAUAGGUGGUUGUUCCAAACUUUUUCACCUCUGUUGACACUGAGUUGACUUCCAGUUGGCUAGAGGGUAGAAUAGAAAAGAAUGCUAGAUAUGGAUUUAAUGUAGGAUAGAAAAGGAUGAGUUUGGACACUUAUGCUGUCACUUGUUUUGGCACUUGGCAUCCAGAGGGUAUAUUUCUGGAUCCUGCAACCUACUAUCUGUGAUUUUCUGCAUUCAAACUGGAUAAGAAUGAUAGUGUAUGACCUGUUAUAGCCUCAUGAAGUGCUCUGCACUACUAAUGUAGACCAUUAAGCAUUCCUGAGGUGGGGUUAAAUCAUGUCAGUGUGCUGCAAGGUUUUCAAACACUUUCUGAGAAUUACCUUUUUCUGGAUUAGAAAUGCUUUCUUUUGGACACGCCUCUUCUGCUUGCAGCUUCUUCCUUUAUUGCUUCCCAUCUGUGGUCCUGUUGUCCAUUUGCAGUCACAUUGUUUCACUCUCCCUGUUCAGUGGUAGGUAGGACUACCAGAGAAGAAAAUAUUUCAUGUGUCUCCCAUCAGUCUUUACUGUCACAUGUUUAUUCUUUCUGAACAGACAGUAGUCAUUUUGGAUAAUUCUACAACUCCUUUGGCCUUCUUCUGAGUUCAUCAUGCUAUUUUGUCCAUGCUACUUUUGGCUUCUUGUUCCAGCUGAUGACUCCAGUUUCUGUGGCAGCUCCCAGCUCUUCUCCUGUCAUUAAUUAGGGUCCUUGUAUUAGGAGAAGGUGUUGUUUUCUUGUCUGUGAAAAAAUCCAGAAAAGACAUCUGGAUCUUUAUCUGACAACAAUCAGAAGGAGAAAUGGAAAGCAGAAAAAAAGUCAGUGUAAUUGGAUGGCUGAAUGUGUAACGGGAAUUCUGCCAGUACAAGACCAUCAGAACCUGAUUGAUUAUGGAUGGUUUUUGUAUUGAAAGUGUAUUGAAAGUGUAUUGAAAGUUUUUUUUCUUUUUUUGCCUUGUCAUCACUUCUCAAUAUUUGAAGUGAGAAGUGCAGUUUAACAAUACAAGCCAGUAGUAAAUGGUCUUGAGGUGUUAGAGCUUGGAUAGUAUAGGAUUCUUUUUUCUUUCUUUUUUUUUUUUUUUUUUUGAAUAAGCAACAACAGCAACAAAACACAUUUUAUAGAUUUAUAGAGAUUUGACCAGGAGUAGAAGGAGACAGGCUAUUUAGAAAAAAGUACAGGAGCUCAUACACACAUUUUUUUGUGCCAAGAUAGUUCCUGAUGGCAAAGUUCUGAACCUGAUGGAUAUUUUGUGAAUGCAUGGGCCUCCUUAUUCUCAGCAAAGUCAUCAGUUAUCAUUGAACCUGAAAGCAUGACUAGACUGACCUUUGCAUUGGCACCAAAGCAAAUGAAGAAAGACACCAAAAACAUUUCUGUUGGUUGCAGCUGGUCAACAUCCACUUCUUUACAGGGAUUUGUGCAGGCAGACAGUGCUGUCUAGAAGAUGGGAAACAAAGUUAUGAACAAGAUGGUGUGUGGCAAAAAUGCAAAUUUUAUUUUAUAUUUGUGAGCAAAACCCAAGCAAUAUUGAGUAUCUGUAGUGCAUAAAAGCAUUUUGUUUGUGAAACCAGAUGGGUUUAUAGCAGAAACAAUUCUACCUCAGAGGAUAUUGAAAAUGUGAUCGGGCUGGGUACAGCAAAAUCCCAAGCACAUCUAAGUUUUGGGGUAACCUCAGGAUUCCCUUGGAGUAACUUACUGCUCAAUUUCAUGUCAGGAAAAAAACAACAAACAACUAAACAAUAAAAUGAACUUUGCGGGUUUACAUACAGUAUCAAGCCUCAUAUUCCAUCACUGUCCUGGUUUCAGCUUGGAUAGAGUUAAUUCUCUGGUAUGGUGCUGUGUUUUGGAUUUAGGAUAAAAAUAAUGUUGAUAACUUGCCAAUGUUUAGCUGAACAGUACUUUCACCCAGCCAAGGACAUUUGAGCUUCUCACACUGCCCUGCCAGUGAAGAGGCUGGGGGUGGGGUGAACAAGGAGCUGAGGGGGGGCAGAACCAGCUAACCAAACUGGCCAAAGGAGUAUUCCAUGUCAUAUGGCAUCAUGCUGAAUUGGCUAGAUUAGGGUGGGGUACUGCUCAGGGACUGGCUUGGCAUCAGUCAGCAGGUGGUGAGCAAUUGCAUUAUGCCUCAUAAGUUUUGUAUAUUCUUUUAUGAUGAUGAUGAUGACUAUUAUUGUUUUACCUUCCUUUUCUGUUCUAUUAAACUGUCUUUAUCUCUACCCAUGAAUGAGUUUUACCUUUUUCUGAUUGUUUUCCCUAUCCCUGUGGGGGAAAGUGAGUGAGUGGCUGUAUGGUGCUGAGCUGCCUGCCAGAUUAAACCACAACUACCACCGAGGCUGUUGGCAUUUUAAAAAAGCUUUAGAGCUAGGAAGGAAUAAAAGAGUCUCAAAUAAGAUACUGCACACUUAAUUUAUUUAUGAUUGCUGCCAUGCACCUUCCUAAAGAAUAAUGGGACCUAUUCAUUUGUCUGUGUGACUAAGUGAUAAAGUGUGUCUGUGAUCUGCUGGUACAGACUUGUGCUUGUUACAGCUGGCCAAGAAUAGAGUUUUUUUCUGUGUUAAACAAGAUCAUUGGUAUCCAGGAAGAUUUCACUGGAAGUUUUUCAGCACUGCAGGGAUGGAGAGGUCCCUUGGAAGCUCUUCCUGCUGCUAUGUAAGGGAAGCUGCAGAAAGAUCUUUGCCAUGUCCUUUUGUAACUCCCAUAAUCUGUAAACUUGUGUGGUCAAAGUAUAGCUAACAUGCUAGAGAGGGCUUGUGAUCUUGUGACUGGACUAGUUGCAGUUUCACAGAAGAAAACUAGCUUUAUCUCCCUAAUCCUUUUGCUGGCAGGCAGGACAUGAAAAAUGAAGUUGAGACACUGUACCUAUUUAUUGCUUAAUUUUUUUCCCAUAAAUUCUAACCUUGUGGUUAAAAAACCCCCAAACAUUCAGUAAUUCUCAGAUGUAAACAAGGAGAAAAAUAAUACUCCAGAAAGCAAGAGCUUGUAAGUAUCCAAACCCUAAAUAUGUUAACACAGCUGUAUAUCAUGUGACCCAUCUCAGUUCUGACACAAAAAUAUGUAAAAUGUUUGAAAAUGUCCAUAGUAUUGUGAUUUUUUUAUGAUCUCCAAGUGGAACAAGAAUAAUACAACGGUUAAAAAUCCAAAUGGAAUGAAUGAACAGUUGUGCUGAAAUUACAUAAACUACCCUUUUUCUUUGGUAAUAUUUAAAAACUUCUACUAAAGCCCUGCCAUCAUAAUUCUGUGCAAGGUAGAGGCCCUGAACAAGAAGCAUUAUAUCUUGGUAUAGUAAAUAACCUGAUUACUCUUGCUUAUAACUCUGAUAUCUUGUCUGUCUUUACCUGGUAUAUUCUGAGUGUAGCUCAGUGAGUGAAUCUGUGAAUCUGGUCAACGGCUGAAGUCUUGUAUUGGCAGGUGUAAGCUCUGGCCCUGGCUGUAGCUGAUUACCUGCACUAGGCAAAGCAGAGGUGAGAGUACCAGUUGCACUCAAACAAUUUAGGAAUCCAAAUUCAUCCUCAAGAAGCUGAUCAGUAAAUCUUGAAUGCAUAAAGUGAAGAGAAAGGUUCACUGAAAUUCACAAAAAUAUGACAGAAGAAGAAAAGUGAUUAAAAACAUAUAAGUGGAAUUUAUUCAGUCGUAAAUGUUAUCUGUGUGCCAGGUCUUCUUUCAAAGCUAUAGGAUUUUUUUUUUCCCACAUAGUUAUUGUUUAGUAAUAAAUCUGAAAAGCUUCUACAAAUAUCUACUUGGCUCAAAGCAAUAGAUGUUAUGAAGGCUUCAACUAUAAUGACAAGUGCAGGAUGUUGUCAGUUGAUCUUGGACAAAAAAGAAAUUGAAGUGUCUUCAGUAACACUUUAAAUACAAUUUUAAUUCUAAGCAAUUUGAAAAUUAGUGUAGUUGCACUUCGUAAUUUCAAGAAAAAAUAAUACCAUUUUCACCUUUUCUUUUUCUUUUCUUCAUUUUUUUCUUUCUCAUCUCCACUACUUGCUCUCUAGGUUAAUUUUAUAUAUUUUUUUAAUCUUAAAAUGCAUUUAGAAAUAUAUCUACACUGAUUAAAUUAGGAUGUAUAUAUUUGGGGCAGGGACUGCCUUGAGUCAUCCAGUUGCUCAGCACAUGUGAGUGACUGAUAUUACCUGACAGUGUAACAAAGUACUUCUAUGUCACAUUAGAAAUCAUUACUUCUGAUAAGUAGAUUUACAAUAUGUUUUCCUACUGCUCUUACUGUCAUUAUGGCACCUCUGUAGAUGUACAAUACUUGCAAAAUGAAAGGGCCUUUCCUUCACAAACCUUUAUGAAUUCAGACACUUGAAACUAUAUUUCGGCUUGUCCUGCAGCAACUUUAUGCAUCUAAGUGGCAGUGUGCAGAAAAAGGCAUGCAAUCUGGAAGUGAAGGGGAAUGGCCUGAAGGCUGCUGUGAGAUUUUCUCCAGGACUCUUCUGUUAGUCAGACAGGCGGUCUCCACAGCAGAGGUCCACUGAAGCUUCACACAUAGAAUCUUUUUUAAGAGUGCAUACUGCUGUGAGUAUAUUUGUGAUAGUAUCUAAUAACUUGCAUCUAGAUGUUAGGUAUUGCUGUUUGAAGAAGUUUUCUGUUGCAAAGAAGUACAUCAUGUACUGACUAGGACAGUGAGAGAAAAAUAUGCAAAAAAAUGUCAAAAUAUGUCAAAAAAAAAAAAGUCAUUUCUGGCAUUAAGCAAAUUAUUUGGCACAAUUCAAUCCUUAUUACCAGAAAAUUUCAUCUAAGAGUGCUGCUGGUGAUAGGAAGGAGGCAAAACUCAGCAGGGUGUGUUACUCUUCUACCUCCUCUCUUGAUGAUUAAGUUGUUAAUUUGCAGUGGUGGAGACUAAGGUUUAAUUAUGUCCUCUACUCCAAAGAUCUAGAUCCUGCUAUCCUGUCUCUCAGAACAGUCAAUGAGCAAUUAGUGGCAUGAAGACUACCACAAUGUGCUCUCAGUUGUUCCUCUUCACAAUUUUUCACUUCCAAGGAACAGUUUCAUACCUUCUCUGCUAUGUGACUUUACCAGGCUUUAAAGAUGUUCUUAGGCUUGAUGGUGGCCCCUUAAGCACUUAAACAUGCAAAGUGAAUCAGUUUGAGCUCCUCAAAACUCCCCAGUACCUAGACACUUAAGCAAAGUUGGGUCAGAGUUCAAGCUAGUGCUCUGUCUGAUGAGGAUAGGAGUCUGAAUGUGGAUCCCUAAUUCCUUAGGUGAAUGUCCUAGCAAUUAUUCUUCAGAUCACUACAAAAUGGAACAGGUCAAAUAAGCCACAUCAUGCAAAGUAUGUCAGAAAUAUUUGAAAGUCACUGAGAAUACAGUGAGAAUGAUUCUCUUAUCUUGUGUUAAUGGUAGUCACUUGGGAAGGUGGAGUAAACCCUAUUACAUUUUACAUGGCAUGGAAUAAACUUUCUCAGUAAAACAUAGGAACGAAUUGUAUAUUAUGUCAAGAACAAUCCUUUUGCAACCAUUAUUUACAAGUUCCCCUGAAUUUUCUUACCUUUUUUGUUUGAAUUUGCCAAAUGUUUACGUUUUCCAAAAAUGUUUCCUCUUGAGACACAUGGAACAUUUCACAUUGAAGGAAAUAUAGUGGUCUGGGUGGAGAUGGUAUUGAUUGUCAUGUGGAAACUUGGAAAAAUUGUGAAUUUGGUUCAGUUUGAACCAACAUUCUUUUUCAAACGUUUGGCUUGGCCAAACUGAAAAACUAGUUAUCUUCACAGCUCUAAACCCUCCUUUGCAGUUGGACCCUGAUUUUACAAAGAAAAUCAUAGUAUAGUCGCUGGAGCUGUUCAUCUAUGGCACAGUGGCAUGAAAUGGAAGCCCCACUAGAAUGUAGCGGUGUCUGAAGAUUUUAGAAAUGCUGGAGUUCUGAAGAGGGAUUAAAUGAUGGCAUUCACAGUAUGCGUACUACUGGUCUUUACAAAGGCACUACUGUUUUCAUGGAUUCCCUGUCAGUUACUUGCCAAAAAGAUACCUCUGAUGCACGUCUUUAUGGGAAAUAGGAAAAAGAGGAGAGUUCUUGACUUGUUUGCAUUGUUAGCUUGGAACGGAUACAUUCCUUUCUCUAACUUUUUUCAUUUCAUGAUGUAAUGAGAACAUUUUAAACCAGGACAAACAAACAGCAAGUGCCAAGCUUUUUCCUAAAAGCUCCUUAUGAUCAAACAUACCCAUCCAUGCUUUUGAAUACCUCAUAAUUAAACAUGCCUAAAUGGAGACUUAAUUUGAACAUGUAAAUUAAUCACAUGUUAUAACAAUUGAAAUUCAUAACCGAACAUCCAUUAGCAGACAACGCCGUUCCUCAUUCUUUUGUCUGCAUGUUUAUAGUAAUCAUGCAAUAGGAUUUAUGGUGCAUAUCACCCUUUGAAAAUUAAUUCUGAAUCAACAUAGGAGAUGUGUUCCCAUUUCUAUUGUAUAGCUUUGCUCUAAAAAUGCAAAUAAUUGCAAAUUAAGCCCCAGAUGUCUAAAGAGCAGCAGGAGUAACCAUUUAUUUGAUGUAUGAUGCACAACAUGUCAUUUCUGUGUCACUCCUCAAUGGGUUAAAUGAGUUUCAUCGUUUGGAUGUUUUAGGAAAAUAAUAAACAAUGUAGCUCAUUCAAAAAACAGCUGCGUUUUUUUUUCUUUUCUUUAAAAACAAAAACAAAAAAAGAAGAAGACAAAGUUAUUUAAAAUUUGUUUUCAGUUGCCUGCUAAGAAAAUAAGUUUACAUAAAAGAAACCUCAUUUCCUUAUGAAAAAUUGUGAAUUUACCUUCUGAAGCAAUUUAGUAAAAGCCAAAAUUUUUCUGUGCAUUUAGCAACUACUGAAUUGCUGUGGUGGGCUAUAUUAAGUAUAGAUGGAUGAGAAUUAGGUCAGUGGAGAAAACACAAGCUGCACCCUUCAGAGCUAAACCUGCACACACAUUACCUUAAAGAUGCUUACAUAAUGAAUGUCUGUGUUUGCUUGUGUAUUUCAGUGUAUGUUUAUGACAGACCAUGAAGCUAUCCCCAACAGGCAUUUGAGAAAGACAAAUCCCCAGCAUAUUUGCAUGUCCAUUAAACAACAAUAGCACUUCUAUCAAUAAGAAAUGAAUUUAUUUGCUUGACUCCCUUGGGCUCAGAUUUCACUGUAGGGCCCAGUCUUCAAGUGGAGUUUGGUCAGUAUAGGCUCUUCAUUAACUUUACUAGGUGUUAGAUCAGGCCUUGAUAUUCUUCUCCAUCCGCUAGUGUUUACUCAGGUGACAACACUGCAUUUAGUUUUCUCGCCUAUGCAGCAGGAGUUCUUUGCAACUGAAACCCUGUGCUGCCCUUAUGGUUUAAACUCAGCUUUGUGCUCAAUGUCCUGCUUCCUAAUGUGCUACACAGCUGUCCUGUGCUCUUGGCUUCAUGCCAUCUUCAUGUUACUCCUCCCAGUAGGUCAACCGUUUUCACUCUGCUGUUCUGUUAAUGCCUUUUAUAGAACCACCUUUUUAUAGUGCUACUUGCAGGAAAUGCUUUUCCUGCAAUGUGUCUGGAUCAUUUACAGCCUAAAAUGUUACCAUAUGCAGCUUAAGCCUAAAGGACCUUAUCUUGCCCUAGUCUGUAUAGUAGCAUCAUACAGUCAGACAACACAUUGACUUGCGAGGAAUUUUUUUUUUUUUUUUUUUUUUUUAAAGAAAGGGCUCUCAUCCUCUUCUACUUAAAUACCUAAAUCUGAUGAGAAACACUUGGAACACAUACAUGAGAACUUGGACUGUUCAGUUAUUAACCUGGAACCUAGAUAAUGAGGGAGAGCUAUACUGGGACAGAGUACUAAGUGUGAAGACAGGAAAGUGUAAAAAUGCAGCAAAAUGGCUUUGUGAUAAUUAGUGGAAAGGAGGUCACAGCCUGUCUUUCUGUCCAACACAAGCCUCUUAUUUAUUAUUGUGGCAUGACAGCAUAUGGCUCUGAGUUUUUAGUGGACUACUACCAUUUCUCAGUUGUUUUUGCUUUCUCUUUUCUCACAGUAAGAUGUGACUUAAAUUCCUAAACUCAAAACCCCCAAAAAUUCAACCCACAAGCCCCAGUGGUAUUUGAAGUUUAUGUAUUCUUUAACCAAAGGCCUUUGCAUAACCAGAUACUGGUACAUUCUUUAGUGAAAUUCUUGAAGCUUUGGGCUUAACCACUGCUUCUUUCAGUGAGGUGCUUGAAAACACGUCAACUAUGUAGCUGUACUGGAGGGCUGUGUGGAUGAGGUAUGUCCUUUUUCUCAAAUUGACUAAUGUCAAGGUCCAGACUGAGGCAGGUUCUUGGCUCCAGCUUGAACAGUCCCAUGGUGAUGUCAGAAUUUUGGUGUUUAUAUUUAAACAUUUUUUGUUAUUAUCAUUAUUACAGAGAAAAGCUGCAGAUUUGGCAUGCAUUAAUCUCUUAUAGAGGUAUCUGCUGGAGUAAGCAGAGAACUUUGUGAAUUUGUAUAAGUUAUUAAUUCUGAAGUCUUUACGUAGCCUGCAGCAGUGGACUUGGGUGUAGACAGGAGAAAUUCACCAAACUGGGCAAAGAGACUUGGUUUCUGAAAGAACAGAAAGAAACAAUACAGCAACAUCUUUGCUGGAAGGAGAGAUCUAAUAGUGCUUAAAUAGACUUGAGAGAGACAGAAACUCACAAAGGGCUUACAAGGCUGGAAUUAAACAAAACUAAGUGGGAUUCAAAAAUGUACUUAGAACAAAAAAAAAAAAAAAAUCCUGAAAAGGAAAAGACAGUCUCCCUUUCCAUGCAAAAUCAAAAAGGAACACUAUUAAAAUGUUCUUAAAGUAUUCAGUUUCUUUUAACAACACUUAGGAUACACUGGGCAGUCCAACAUGAUCCUGUGUGUAUUGGCAAAGCAUAGUAGCCUUUUGGAUACAAAAACUUCAUCUAAGUGUGUUUCAGAUCCAUGUGUGAUAAACUUCAUUUGUUAAAUACGGGAGGUUUAUCUACUCUUUAAAACACCAGUUGUGUUUCACUUAGUGAACCAAAAUAAUAUAAUGGCAUUAGGCUUCUUGGCUCUUAGCUGACUUCUCCAUUUUUCUCUAAAGUGUGGUGUUAAUGAGUAAUUUCAGUGUAAGGACCCUUUUGCUGAAAUAUUUUUCAAAAACUCUGAUUGCUUUUCUUCUAAAUUCUCUGUGUAAUCUUCAUUGCCUUUCAGUUUACUGUGGGAGACUGGUUGAGAGCACCUUGAAAUAAAAUCCAAGGCUGUGCCUUUUUUCCUCUAUAUUUUCGAUAGGAUUCUUGUUCAGAUAUCAUGAGUGGGAACAUGAUCAAGAAGCAUAGAGCCAGAGUCUAGAGCAAGUUAAUCUGACAGUGCUGUUCUGGGCACUGGUUUCCUUCGUGGCCUUAGGCAGAACACGUGACCUUUCCACCUCAGUGUUCUUUUCAUUAAUAUAGGGUGAUGAAAAUAAUUUAAUUCCUAUCAUCUGACACAACAUAUUUGCUACAGACAGAGGAAAUGGUAUGGAAAUAGCCUUUCUGAGGAUUGUUGAAAAUCAGAGCAUAUCCAUCACAUAUCAUUGAAUUAUUUCAAUUUUAUUUAUUUAUCUAUUUUUAAUGAAGGAACUCAGUUCUUAAUUGAAAAGGCUGAAACAUUUAAAGGUUGAAUUUGUCGUUUGGAGAGUAUUCUGAAUUUCAAGAAAACUACCCCCCCACUGUUUCAUUAUGAGAAAUAUUCUAAAGGCUUUCCAAAAGUUUUGUCUUUAUGCAGAACCACAGUCUGUUUAUUUCUUCAUGCCAAAGAUGAGGUUUGGCAGAGGAUUUAUCCCAUACCCUUGCCAACAGCUCUCCUAAGAGCACACUCAGUUAGUUUAUAUUACUACUUUUGAAAAAGGAAACAUUAAAGAAACUGUAUUUUUAAUACAGUAUAAAGGUCCUCUGAAGGCUGAAAAUGCCUCCCUCUGGCCCCACCUCCCUGCAAAGGGCUAGGGGAAGUGAGGGAAAAAGGAGUCCUACAGUCAAAAGAACUGCCUCUGUGUGAGGCCUGAGAGCUAGGACAGCUUCGCGCUAACCCUCAUUUUCCUGCAGGCUCUGGUUUUCAAAAAUUCUUUCUAAGUCUAGUUGCUCAAGUUGAGACAACCGUGUCUUCAUUUUCAGCAAGUCUGGCACUCUCAACACCUGCUGAUUAUACUGUGACUGUUUAAGGGAAGGAUUUAGAAUGCCUCCUGCCAGUCUCUCAUCCUACUGCAAGUGCACUUGGUAUAUAGAGAGGGGAGGACCCAGUGCCUUGAUCUGUCCAUCUGUCAACUCUGUGACCUUCUGAACACAACUGCAUCCCGUCUGCAGCAUCUCUGAAUGGUCGUGAAGUCUGUAGUUGUUAUGUCCACCUUCCAUUUUCUUGCUCUUAAAGUAGUAUAAGCUCUAGCUGGUGUCUGGAACACUGGCCUUAUCUCACAUACACUGAGUGACAUGACAGCUACAUUGGCUAACUUUUGACUUAAUAUGACAUUGUUCUUCCUGCAUACUGGGGAUAGUGAGACUUGAAGCAUCUUCCUAAAUAUUCAGUGGAAAUAACUGCUGUUGACUACACUGUUUCAUUUCAGCACAGAGGGUCUUUUUAACACUUCUAAAUCUUCAAUUCUGAGAUAAUAUAUCGUCAAAACAUAGAAGGCCACAGAAAUGCCUGAUUCUGUAGCUAUGUUAUGCACAGUGAGAGAGCAUUUCAGGUGAUUGUAAAAAGACUUGUGUAUUGUAAAUGUGGGGAAAAAAUGUAUAUACACAUCCAUCCAUCUGAACUCAGAUGGUAUUUUUAGAAACCAAAUAUAAAUGUCAUAGCCCCCUUCCAGCUGAAUAUUUAUCUUCUCCAGAAGUUAUCAUGUAAGUCCAUUUGUUAUCUGUAGUCAUGGGUCAAUUGUGCAUGUGCUAGGGCUGGUCAGCUAUCAAAGAGAAAGCUAAAGCAUGGAAAGUGCUAAUUUUCAUCUGAGUUCCCAAAACUAAAAUGGUAGCAUUUGAUUUUCAAAAUUUUCUUUUCUUUAUUAAACUGCCACAUCCAGAAUUUCCUGUUCAACCACAAUACUUUUUCCUCCUAGGGACCAAAUCAAAGAAUUUCUUUUAGGUGGCUAAAAUGUUACCAAAAUGUUAGGGAUCUUCAUGCAAAAUCUGCAGAAUCUGGUACGUGCUAAUAUGUUGUAAUAAGAUUUGAGUAACCAGUGUUGCAUUGUUAAGAUCCUUCUUUUCUUCUGUAAGUGUAUCUGUCUUAGAGAUCUGUCAGAGUUGCACCAGUGUGGGCCAAGCUACAUGGUUGGGGCCCUUAAGGCUCUGCAGAGAGAGUUAUCAUUUGAGAUUCAAAGCAUUUCUAUGAUGAUAUGAAAAUAAAACUAUGCUACAAGUUCUUCAAGUAUUCCACAAGGGAGUUUUUUUAUAAUCUGCAAUUAUUUUUCAUACUGGUAGAAUAAACAUGGAAAGCUUCAGUAUGUAGAUCCUCCUGUAACUGGUCACUACUUUGCACUGAUACUCACAUGGCAAUCCUUGAAGAACUUGAUCCCUUUUUAUGCUGUAAAUAGAUAUUUUGUUUAGUUAACCUACUGAAAGAUCUGAAAGGGAAUCAAUAUGUUCUGUAAACUCAAGAGAAGGGAUUGUUUGAAUUUCUCGCUUCCUUCACAUUACAGAGCAAAAGUUUCAAUCUGUCACAUCUGCAUCAAGCCCAAAUCCUUUUAAGUUUCAUUGAAGUGUUACCUGCAAAUGUAAACUUGUAAGCACAAUCUCUUUUCCACUCUUUAUUUGGAAAACUGUGAUUCCCUGAGCUUGGAAUGAAUAAAGUCCCAUAUUGAAUAAGGUCUCAUUUCCUAUGAUAUUGGGCUGUCUACUUUUCUAACAAGGCUCAAGCUCCAAUUGGAGCUUUUCCAAUGGCUAGGAAAUUUCUAACUGUUCAGUACUGUGGAUUCCCUGAAAGCCUAGUAGCAUAUGUUUACACUGAAGCCUUUCCUUAUUAGAAGCAGUAUUAAGGUCAUUCUAUAUAUCAAUACAACUAUUUUCCUGCCUCCUGCUAGUAAUAUAAUUACGUUUGAGGUGUCUGCUUUUAUCAGAUAUGGUUGAAAUUUGUGAUUGUGUCAAAAGUUAUUGAAGAGGUAGUAGGCAUAUGAUGAGUCAUGCAGACAAAACUCAACUGUAAGAUUUGUUUCCCUGGGAUAUCUGGCACCUGUAUUGCCAGAGAUAUCUGAACCUUUGUGGAUUUUCAUUGUCCUAUUUCUACUGUUUCUUAGAGAAGGAGAGAUAGGAGAGUUUCACUGGAUGUAAAACAGCAUUCCCAUAGGAUAUCGGUUAUGACCAAUGGAAUAAAUUUCAUGCUGAUGUUCUGCCCAUUUCUGGGAUUGUUUUUCAUCGUGGUGGUCCUUGAAAAAUAUAUUUAUACAUACAACUGUCCUGCUGGACUGGAAAUAAGAGUAAAUUGUUUCAUUUUUGUCAUGUUUCCAAGGUCCUUUGUCAUGUCAACGGCCAAUAGGCAGGAUACAAGUGAGAUAUCAAGGCUCUUUUUACCUUCAUUUCUGUGUCUGUUUGCUGUAUUUAAAGAUGCUCCUUGAUUUUAUUACAAUAAUACUUUUCAUUUAUAAAUUUGGACCUCCUCUGAUGUGAGCCCCAAGCAUUUCCAUUUCUAAGUGCAAAAAAGUUAAUCCCUGUGUAAUUAAAAGUGGUGCCAGUUUCUAACCACACUGCCUUACCUACCCUAGUCCUUUGGAAAUGUUUUACGUGCAACAACUUUAUAUACUAAACAAGUUUGUUUAAUAAAAAUGUUGUUACGAUAACUAUAAACAACAUAUUUUUGACAUGACUAAUGUUUUCAUGAAGUUGCUUUCAUUUUCACAGGUCACUGCUUCCUUUUCCAGCCUCACAAACAGUUUUCUCAAUCAUCUGGGUGCCUCAGCGCUUGGAUCUGUGUCCUAUGAUUUGAUCUUCUUUUCAGAGUGUUCUCUCAUUUGUCUCUGUCCAUGUGUUGUUUUUCUGACACUUCUUUUUUUCUAGUGGCACUUUAUAACAAAUUUUCUCUAUGAUGAACUGUUAAAAGAAGUGAGAUAUCCAGAAAUAAAGUGGAAAAAAAAAAAAAAAAAAAAAAAGAAGCAACUGACCAAUAAUCUGCAUAGAAAGGUGCGCCUUCAGAAUUCUCAUUUUCUUCAGUUCAAAGUGAAACACUGGGAAAAGUAUUGGAAUGAAUCUGAAAACAGUACAGCAUUCUCAUGUGGAGGCGAAAGUACCAUUCAGACAGACACUAGAAGAAAAUCUGUCUUGAGUCUGUUUUUCAAAACGAGACUGAAAUAUUCACUGGAAAAAUACCAGGGAUCUUCGACUUAAGUGGAGAACUAAGGGGUGAAGAGGAUGAGUGGCCUUUAAAAUGUCGUCUUGUGGUCAUCAAAGUGGCAAAAGGCAAUCUCGUAAACCUUCUAAUGUUGGAGGCUGAUGGCCAGGUCAAUGACCAUACAGAACAAUGGUGGCAACCUCAAACGUGGUUAGGAGGGUUAUUACUGAAAACUGAAUCUCGACAUGAGCCUAAGAAAUAAGUGCUAACUGACUCUAAAAACUAGAGGACAACUCUGUGAAUACCACCGCAAAUACCACUGGCAAGAGACACGUCUCCAAGCUGUCUUCAGACUCCAGAGUAAAUAAAUAAAAUAUUUCAGAGAGAAGAGGCCUGUAUACGUUGGCAGCAUUGCUUGACUUUGUGUGUAAAACCAAGCACGAUUUGAACUUCCACUAGGUAGACACCAACACAAGAAACUCAUUUAAACUGGUCAAAUUCUAACAAACAUUUUCUGUGAAGUUUUGGUGAGCUGGAGUUUGCCAGAAGUUUUUCCAGGAAUUAACAACCUCCAAAGACUGCAAACACUUUUUCUUCUGAACAUCUCUGCCCAGAAUCUUUCUCCAAAACUCAUAAAGCAAGAACUUGAGAAAACCUGCUUGAAAAGCAGUCUGCUUUGUAAAAAUAUAGUAGGAUCUCACUAGACUUUGAAGCAAGGGAGAACCAAAAUAAAGGCAGUGAAGACAUUACCCUCACUGUGUUUCCAAAUACUAUUGGAGAAAAUGCAAAAGCUUUAAGCAUAAUACUAGGGGUUGGUCCUUUAUCUAUUCACCUUCUUCUACUUCAAACCUACUGAUUUCUCUGCAUGAAAGUCAUAAGCUGAUCUUAGCUCAUCUCUGAUUAAGGAUGGUCCUUUGGUCCUCUUGGAUAGUCCUCUUCAUAUUCCAUGUCCCCACAGUUAGUCCUUGGUAAUCAAGCCUUGGCUUAUACACAUGCCAAUCCACCCCCAAAAAGCAAACAAAUAUAACAACUACAUUGAGAAUGAGAUAAUGUUACUCUGUGAUCACAGUUAUUGUGUUACCUUACACUUUCAGUGGGUCAGUUAUCUCUCUGGAGUAGUUAAAAAUGUUCUGUUGGCCCAUUGACUCGGUGGUAUAUUUGCUCGCUUCUAGCAAGCCUAAUGGACUAAUAUCAGUGGACAUUUAUUCUUGGAAGAGAUACACUUGCCAAGAUUUUAGGUCUUUGGCGAAAAUCAGCUCUGUACAGGAGUUAGGGUUUGUUAGAGUUGUUGUUUGUUUGUUUGUUUAACAUGAGAAGAAAUAAACAUUAUUUUUAACUUUGAAGAGACUUUAACUUCAGACACUGCCUGUGCACAGCCCCAGAGAGGACAAGGGCCAUGAGAAAUGUGAUGACAUUUGGUUGCAUAAUUUUGAAUUGAAUGAGAUUUACAUAUGUUUUUAGUACAAACAAAGCAAGAAACAAGCAUUCUUGGAGGAUACUCUUUUAGCAAAUGUUCAAAAAUUUGGUGAGCACAGCUACAUUACAUCAAAAGUCAAAAAUCUUAAGAGGCAAGUAUGUAAGAUAAGAUGAUCAUUUCCAUCUAUACAGUUAUUCAUGUUCUCUUGUCUUUUAGGACCAUAUAGCUUAACUAUAAUCUCUCAACACUUGAACUUUGAGCUACUUUGAUCAUACUUACUUUCACAGGGCAUACUGAAGAGUGGUUAAUUCUGUGGUACGUGAAAUUUGCACAAUACUUCUUUUUUCUUAAUGGAACACAUUUUUAGUAUUUUGCAAGCAAUCCACAAGUUAUUACUUCACGUUUGGUUUUAAAAUACAGUUUGGAAAAUCAAAACAAGUUUUGACUACACAUUAAUCAUACAGAGAAAAAAAUUCAAUACAAAAUAAAUUAAAGUAGCUUCCCAGGGGAAAUGUUUAAUCAGUUUCAAGUGUUUUUAAGAAGAAUGAGAAAUGAUGAAAAGCCUUUUACAGAAAGUGUUAAAUCAGUUAAUAAAUUUUUUGACUGCAUCUGCAUAAAUAGUUAUAGAUAAUUUAAACCAGCUUUCAAAGUAGUACAGUAAGAUAGGCUUUGUCAUAGAGUAGAAUAUGGCAUGAACAGAAAGAAGGUUCUGUUUUUACUUCCUUUCUUUCCUUCUUUUCCUGUUGCACAUAAAUAUUUGUAUCUCACUUUGAUCUAUCAUCAAAUCAUGUAUGACAGAAGUCUUGACCUGUUGGUUACCAACAACUAUUUGAUAUUGGUUAUGGCCACAGGAAAAUCAAAAGUAAAAUCUAGUAAAUAAAUUAUAAUUGCCAAAAAAAGAAAGAGUGUGCCUUCAUUAUAUUUUUCUUGUUACUGUUAUCCCUGUUCUGCCUUCUAAUUGGAAUCACAGAGUCUCCUUGCUUAGAAGAGGUUCCCAAUUAUAACCAGCACACAGGCAUACUGGCCACUUCCGAAUGUGAUUUUUGUUGCAUUAACCUUAAGCUCAGGCCUAAACGCUGUCCUUCUUAGGAAAGAAUAAAAUUCCUGGAUCAGUUCUGUAUGUAGAAAUCUUCAUAUCUUCUGGACUCUAGAUCUUGCAGUUACAAUGCCUUCAGGCAUAACCUUGCCUUCAGCUAGAUGCCUGAGUUCAUUACAACUCAUAGGCUGUCCAUCAGUCCAUAUGUUACUGAAUACUAUGUCUCAGUUUAUAAAUUUCCUUGUACAGGGUCAGCCUUUGUUGUUACUGAAUUAUACUGUGUCAAGUACAGUGUGGCUUCAACCCCUUUGAGUUGUUUUAUUGGUCUAAGAACUUUAUCUCUGCUGUCAUGUAACAGUGGCUCCAAUCUAAUACUGUGGAUCAGACAAUCUAAAAGAGGAGAUGCAACACUCAUGGACAUUUCCGAAGCACAGAAUGCUAGAGUCACUUAAUGCUAGAGUUACUUCCUUGAGUUACUUCCUGUGUUCUGCACCAAAACUCACUUGAUAGAUGAUAAGGAAAAAAUACAAAUUCCAAAAUAAAUUAGUCCAAAUACCCAGGAAACUUGGUAUCCCUUUGUUCCUACAUCAUCUCUACCCACAAUUCUAUUCUGUUCUAUACCAGAUUACAAGUCAAAGCUCAUCAUUACCUUCUUUUUCUCAUGAACAGAGUAACAUAAUCUUCAGUCGAGACUUUUUUCCAUAUUCCUUCAUUUCCAUGACCUACUUAUGAAAGUAAUCCUCAAUUUCUUGGAGACUGCAAUUCUCACUAAAUUCUAAUUAAUGAAAGACUGCUGAAAGCCAGCCACAGAAAUCAUCUGUUAGAAGACUUUGUACAUGCUAGAUUUGUAAGGGUCCAUGUAUGCAUCUACAGCACCUUGUCUGUGACAGUGGUAGUGAAAAUGUCUUUCAUUUCUCUUCAUCAGUGCAUUUUAUUUAAAUGCUUAGUUUCUAUCAUUUAGUCCCAAUGUUGAAGUUUCUAAAUAAUUAUCAGAAAAAAAUAACUGUCAAAAACAAAACAUUGAAAUUAUAUCUAAAGGUUGGUACAGAUGCCAGCAAAUAUCUUCUAAAUGGAAUUUAGGAUAUGGUAUGCCCUCAGAUGUAAGAAAUUACAAGACCAACUUGACUAAUUGAACCAAAAAAAUUUCCAUCAAACAACUUUGUACCAGGUAUCUAAGCUAUCUCAGGGAGUCAUGAAAGUGAUGGGCAAGGCUUGAUCAGCAUCUGUUCUGGGGAACUUAGCCUCAGAACACAUCACCUUGGCCAUAUAUUUCAUCACCUUGUUGAUCAAAGAAAAGCAUUCACUUAUUUGACAUAUCUUUCCCACAAGAAGUGCAAUCUACAGAAAAGCAACACAAAUCCUUAACUAAAUAGCCACAAGCAAAAGAUAAAACAAAACCCUCAACAUUUUGUUUCACCUGAAAUCUCUUUUCUUUACUUCUUUAUUGUCUAUGUCUCCCUUUGACAAUAUACCCUUUUUGUCUCUUUGUCUCUCUCUCCUAUAUUAUGUUUAGGUUGAUUUUAUUCCAUCCAUUGGUCUCACCUGGAAUUUUUGUAGAGAUUUACAUGGGAUUUUCAUAGUCAAUUGCAUAGUAUGAUAGGGUUUAAUGGCCAGUGAACCAUUGUGCUGUAUCUCCCAAGUCUCUGAAGAGUUAAAAGCUCUGGCAUUGACUGUAGCACAAAGGGAAGGCUAGCCACAGAUUCCAGCAUUGCUUUUUAUUAUGUUGCAGCUGUACUGCACUCAAUUCUACUUGGAAAACUUCCUGAACGAGAAUCUAUUUCCCUCACUUCACUUUUGGAAUAUGUACUGUUUUGGUUUUUGGCUCAUCUUUGAAGCAAUGUUCUUUUUGUCAGUAUUGAAGGAAUGAAGGGUAUAUUUAAAGAAUAAACUGUUGGGAUGUGUUUGGUGAUUUUGAUUUAGGAUGUAGGAAUAAGGUUCUCAAGGGAUGGAAAACUUGAACUCUAAAAAUAAUGACCAUCUAAAUUUUGGUGGAGGUAUUAUUAUUGCAUUGACUCAUAUGGUCUCUACUUGGUUACAUUUCUACUUAGGAAUGGGGCAUUCAUUUACAAUGCAACAAUAUUUAUAGUAGUUACAAGCCAUAAGCACUUUCUUCCAGUGGUUAUUUAAAUAAUGUUAAUAAAAUUCAUAUAUAGCACAAUGUAUUAACUCUCAUGCCUAGAAAACACAUUAGCCAGAAUUUAACUUAAUACAGUUCUUAAAGAUAGAUACGAAGUCACUUGUGCAAUUUUUAGGUGGGUGUAAAUUCUGAAUAAAUUUUGUGUAUGUGUAGGUCACCUUUCUCUACAUUGAAGGUUUUCCAAAAGACAACUCUUGAUUGCUGUCUCCUCUGUGGAACCUUAACAGAGCUAAACCUGAAGAAAUACAAUGCAGUUUCUCCAUAGAAAAACUAUAGUGUACUUGUCCCACUGAAUCCCAACUGUAUUAGCUCCUCAGACUCAGGAAUUGCACUACAGUGGGGUUGGGAUUUGAAUGUAAAUAUUUUCUUUGUAAAAAUAGCAACCUGGAGAGAAAUCAGCAACCCAACUCAGUUAUAGGCUAACAUUACCAAUUUAUUCACUGCCUACAGGCAUUUAUACAUAUGUAAUGGUUUGCUUCACUGCAGUGUAAAGGUAAUCCAUAAAGCAGAACAGAAUUUUUCAAAGAAGUUGGCCAAGUUCUGCCAUUUAUUUGUAUUGUGGGCUACAAUUAUGAAGUUGGAAAGUAAAUUUUUCAACAUAAUCUGAAAAGAAAGUUGUCCCUAACGUAGGAAAAUCCAAGAAAACAAAGCUCAUUCUUCAUCAGGAUAAAGUAAGGAUCAAUCUUGACCAUAAGGGGGAAAGAUGUUCCAGAUUUCAUUAGAAAGUGUCAGCUUUCACAAUUAGGGAAUUUUUUUUGACUGAUACCAGCUGAGUUCUGUAGCAGACAGUGAGAAUCUCUGUGGUUGGAGAAAAGGAAUCAGACUUUUCAUGAUAUGUUAUAGGAUUUUCAUGUCUGUGCCUUAGAACUAGGAGUAGAUAUUGACCAGUGACAUUCACUCGUAUGUGUUUUAAAAGUAAACUUUCAGCUUUCACCUUGUACUGAGUCAAAUGACAACUCACAGCCAUUGUAACACCUGGACAAAUUAUGAUAAGCUCUCUACAGUGAGCUACACAAUGUCAAUCUCUUAACCGCAUGUAUUUAAAAUGAGGUAUUUUGGUUUGCAAGCACAGUUGCAAAGUUUCCAAAAUAAAUCCAUUUUCUUCCCUUUCUCUACUUAAGCCAUUAAUUUGUAUUCUCUUCACUUAAUUAUGUUGUUGCUUUUCCAGGAAAACAGAACAUUUAAUCUCUUACUAAAUCAGAAAAGUAAGAAUUUCUUACUGCAUCCCUAAUCUGACCAGUGCUGCUAAAUUGGUCAAUUUAUGUACCUUCUUGCUCUCUUAAGCACAGUUUCUCUCCAGAAACAAGACUUUUUAUAGCAAAAGAG